UCCAUGGCAUUUGAUUAAGGGAUGCCAUCCAAGAAAUCCUCCACCCUGCAUGCUGCCAGCUGGCCAAAAAGCUGACACAAGCCUUCAGAUUGAAUACUGAAGAUCAUUUUACACCCUUCCAAUCCAAGUUGUGAUGAUUAAGGGCCGGAUUUUGCCAUUGGGUGCGCACAUAUGAUUCCCACUGAAAUCACUGGGAGAUGCCUGUUGAAGGGAGAUUUAUUUUCCUGCCAACUUGAGUUCAGAUCCACAGCAUGUAUCAGCACACCUUGCUGUAAUUUGUACAGCCCAUCAUCCCUGGUGAUUUUCCUCAUUCCAGUAAAACAGAUGUUCUAUCCUUCCCAGCUGCAGGAUCCCUUCUGAAGAGCUACAGAGAAACAUACAAGCUACUUUGGUAACAUUCAAACAAACACUUAAUCCUACAGUUAGGAGAGUUUACCUUGAGAUUAAUGAUGAUCAAGUCUGGAGAAAUGUCUUUGACCCAAUUAUUAAACAAAUAGUUAGCCAAUUUGUAUUAAGGAUAAUAUAUAAAGAAAGGCACUUUCCUCCACUACCUGAAUCUGGUUAAAGAUAUUUUACAAUACCUGGC